GCUCGUCUGGGCGAGGGUAAAAAGUGAUUAGGCCCAGAGCGUCCUGGUUGGCCGGAUCGGUCUGCUGGGGGUUCAG
rnacentral:ribozyme from 1 species